GGAAGUGAUUAAUCAAAUAAGUCUGAAAUGUACAAAUAUCCCUUCAGUUCUGUCUUUCCAUCUCUUGCUUUGUUUCUCAGACACAACGAACUGACUGAAUGUGUCUGCAAGUUUAUUAUUUAUUUAUUUUUUCAUUUUUAAUGGCAACUUCUCUCUUUUUUGUGGUGGACGAUAAGUUAUGGUUUAGCCCUGGGUCUGUCCACUUGUCUGAAUAAAAGAGAAUAAAUCUAUCUCUACUUUAUCAGUCUUUUAUUCAGAGAAGUGAACAGAACACAGCACUGAGAACCAGGAACAAACAGAACUCAGAUUAAAUUGGAAUUUCAUAUUUUGAAGGAAAGGCAAUAAUGUGACACUCAUGAGUUCACUGCAGAGGGAUGUGACCAGAAACAAAAAACAGAAAUCAUCAUCUAAUCCACUGUGUUUCUCUGGCUCCAGUUUCAUGUGUUUUAUUCAGUGAUGUUCCUUUAAACAACUGAUCACUUCUUUACUUUGGCUCCUCCUCUUCUCCGUUUCCUGGUUUGACUUUACUUUCACUUUCUCCAGGGUCGUGUCGCAGAUCUUUUUCUCCAUCUGAAGGUAAUGAAGCAGUUUGUGGUGUUUUCUUCAUCAGCAGAAAUCUGCCGCUCCAUAGUUCACGUUAAACUCAGUCACAGCUGAAAGGAAAGAGUCUGGAUCAUUUUGUUUCUCUGGUCCGUUUGUGUCACUCGGUGCAUGAAUAUGAUUGAAGGUGAUUUUCUUUCCUUCAUCUUUUCAUCGAGGACACAGUCGGGCUUUUAUUUGUAAACUGUCUGUAGAAUGUUUUUAUGACGUAAAGCGCUGGAAGUAACUCAGUAGUUUGAGCCUCACAGAUAAUAGUAACUAUUCUUGGACCUGGUUCAUAGUCGACGGAAGCGACGCCAGACGCGAAGGACAUAGUGAGAUGAGUUGAACCGUUUAUUCAGAUAUUAUUAUCUCUGUAAAGACUCUGAGGUGAAGUCUCAAAAAUAUCUACUGAGGAGUUUUUAUUUUAUUUUACUGUGAAUCAUCUCGGUUCAUUUAAAUCUGUAUUUAUAUAUUUAUAAAUAAGUCAGAAAGGGGCAGAGAUGAGUUUUACUUCCACCUGCUCGUUUUCGGACGGUUUUAAAUAUAUUUCUCUGUUCAAAAUAAAUAUAUUGAAUUCAAAUUCAAUUCAAUUGUUGUUCUAUCGGGAAAAAUGGGAAUAGAGAAUGUUUUUCUUGGCCAAUAAGACGCAGUAGAGACGGUGGGACACCACCUUGUUGUUUAUGUUUCUUACUGAGUUUGUCCCUCACAUUUAUUUCCAGUCUUUUUUGACACUUUCUUGGCUCUUUCCCAUCGCGACAGUAAUUUCAAUCCACACAUUCUCUGUGUUGUAUGAGAGUAGGGAUGUGGAGUGGGUGCACCCGUACAGUCUUCUUAUGUUGUAUAACAAAGUGGUUGAUAAGUUCAUUACAUGCGUUAAUCACGUCAUUGCGUUUGUGUGUUGGAACUUCCAGUCAGACUCGGUGUCAGUGAACGCAUCACAUGUGUGUCCUCCAUGGCUCCAUCUAGUGGACUGAUAGUAGAAGUACAGCAGCUGAUGAAUAAGAGAGAAUCAGUGGAGGAUCAGCUGAUCUUUUUACAGCAGGAAUGAUUUCAGUUGAUGUUCACAUGAAUGAUGAGUGUUUCCUCUGCAGGUGAAAGAAGAAAGAGUGAAUUCAGCAGCAUGGUCCAGAGAGAGGACAGACUGGAGGGACCUGGACCUGGACCUGGAUCUGGUCCUGGACCUGAACCCAGCUGUGGUUCCUUUAAGAGCGACUGGUCCAAGGGCAUUGGUAUUGAUUUUAAAGAAGGAUGUGGUUCUGGUCCAAAGAGGAAUGAACCUGGACCUGGACCUGAACCCAGCUGUGUGUCCUUUAAGAGCGACCAUUCCAAGGGGUUUUUGAUUGAUUUUAAAGGAGGACGUGGUUCUGGUCCAAAGAGGAGGAAGAGGUAAAGUGUCAAUAAAUGUUUUGUUCUUGUUUCAUUAUUAAACAUUAUUUAUGAGUUUUAUGACAAAGUCAGAGGUAAGUUGACACCUUCCACCUGAUGAACCAGGUUCUGCAGUUCUUGUCACUCAGGCUGAAAUUCAUGGCAGUAACAACCAGGAACAACAAUGCACUUGUUUGUUAAUUCACUUGUGUGUCUAAUCAUGUCUAAGUCUAAGUUUAAGAAUUUCAAAAUAUUAAGAAUGAACCAAAAUACAAAAAUGAAUGUUCCUGACAGUGCUUUGCCUCAGAUGGGCACCAUUUAGUUGAGGAUUGUUUGCACAAAUAUGCUUAUUGUAAUAAUGAAUAAUUAUACUGAUGAGUAUUAUUAUUACUAAUAAUGACUUUUGUUCCUGUAAACCCCAACAUUUUAAAACUAGGUGUCGUGACACAUCUCGCAAAGCUAGCUUCGUUAUCUCUCACACCAAAGUCAAGUCUAACAGAGGUUUCAGCAACAUUCUGUGGGAACUUCUUCCACUGUGCAGUGUGAAGAAGCCUUGAUGUUGCUCUUCACUUCUCUCCAGCUCUGAUGAAGUAUGUGGUUUGUUUUAUGAGUUUGGACCUGCAGCAGCCAGUGAUUACACUACAGAUGCUCUCCGUAAUUUUCUUGAGCACCUGAUUGUACCACCAUCGAUGCCUGGUUUCCCCCAGUGCUUGUAGACCUUGUAGGGUGUUCCACUUGGUCCUGGGGCUGGACCUUGCUUUCUGCAUCACCUCCUGAACUUCUUUCAGAAGCAUCUCCCGCUGAUAAAAGGCCUCAGUGGGCUCUGGUGGUGUUAUAACUGCCUUGCACUGCCCUAGCUCUUCGUUCCUGAUAAUAUCACUGAGGUAUCAUGGAGAUGAUGAUCAGCUUCCACUUCUUACCAGCCAGACGUACGAGGAGCUCCUUCACAAAGCCAAAGGGGUUCUUGAUGAAAGCUGUGCCAGAUUUCAGAUUUCAGACAACUGGAUAAUUGGUUUGGACAGCUUGCAUACUGAUAUAUAUGUAUAUAAUAGUAUAAGAGACUUGUAAUGUUACAUUACAUGUACAUAUUGCAAGUACAGAUAGAAGGAGAAUACAAAAGCAAAAUGGCGCAAGUAAAAUGCCACAGAACACAGUGUAAUCGAUGGUCAAUAAAUAGAAUAAAUAGGUAAAUAAGGGAGGUUACUUGUUUUACUAGCAACAUCUCAUCUUUAUUACCACUUAUUCUCACUAGGGUUGCGGGGGUCGCCUGCUUCUAUCCCAGCUCUCAUCAGUCGAGAGGUCCACCCUAGACAGGUCUCCAGUCUAUCUCAGGGCUAACACAGAGGGAAACAACCAUUCACACUCACACAGAGGAUCAAUUUAGAGUCACCUGACCAUCAACAUAAUAAAGAAAAACAGGGCAAGGAUGUAGUAAAAGUUAGGUUAGCACUGACAUGUAGCAUGCCCUGGUGACUGUUUUCCUGGGGAGUUAGACGAUAAGACAACAACCAUGUGGAGGAAGUAAUGUCUUCAAUCUUGUAAUGGAUGAGAGCUAAUUGUUGAUGAUUGGUCCACAGAGUCCACCAGCAGAGCUCAGAGGUUCUCAGUGGUCAGUCUACCCAGCAGCAUCAGACACAGCUGGACUCCAUCUUUCUGCUGCUGGAGGACAACAUCAUGACUUUUGUGAAG